AGCGAACGCUGGCGGCAGGCCUAACACAUGCAAGUCGAACGGACCCUUCGGGGUUAGUGGCGGACGGGUGAGUAACACGUGGGAACGUGCCUUUUGGUUCGGAACAACUCAGGGAAACUUGAGCUAAUACCGAAUGUGCCCUUCGGGGGAAAGAUUUAUCGCCAUUAGAGCGGCCCGCGUCUGAUUAGCUUGUUGGUGAGGUAAUGGCUCACCAAGGCGACGAUCAGUAGCUGGUCUGAGAGGAUGAUCAACCACAUUGGGACUGAGACACGGCCCAAACUCCUACGGGAGGCAGCAGUGGGGAAUCUUGCGCAAUGGGCGAAAGCCUGACGCAGCCAUGCCGCGUGAAUGAUGAAGGUCUUAGGAUUGUAAAAUUCUUUCACCGGGGACGAUAAUGACGGUACCCGGAGAAGAAGCCCCGGCUAACUUCGUGCCAGCAGCCGCCGUAAGAC
rnacentral:rRNA from 1 species